UUUGUAUAGAGUGCCUGAGAAAAUUCUCCAAGUAUUUCUAAUAAGUAACUGAUCAAAAAAGUAAUUGAUCCACUUUAACUCCAGCUUAGCCAUGGUUUUGGAUGUGACUGUAAUAACAUGUCUGUAGUCAGACACAGCUAAAUUCCGCCCCCCCCGGAUUCAGCAAAAUAAACAUGAGUCAGUUCCAGGAAGGGAAACACCCAGUUGCUGCUAUAGGCAGGACAUAUUUUUGAGCACAGGAAAUUGAACCUUACCCUGCUACACUGUCCUAGGGAGCUAUGGCUGCAGAGAACCCCGUGGAAAGCCUCAAAGAUGAAGCUACUUGUUCCAUCUGUCUGGACUAUUUCGAAGAUCCAGUGUCUAUACACUGUGGGCACAAUUUCUGCCGAGCCUGCAUCACCCGGUACUGGAGGAAGUCAGAUACAAACUUCUCCUGCCCUCAGUGCAGGAAAAUUGCUCAGCACAGAAACUUCAAGCCAAAUGGGUGCUGGCAAAUGUUGUGGAAAUAGCCAAACAGCUGAGUUUACAGGCACCAAAAGAUUCAGGAGGCAAGAGAGAGUGUGAGAAACACCAGGAGGCUCUGAAACUGUUCUGUGAAGAGGAUCAAAAUCUAAUUUGUUCGAUCUGCAGAGACUCCUGGGAUCACAGAGCUCACACUGUGGUUCCCAUAGAAGAAGCUGCCCAAAAUUACAAGGUUCACAUUCAGAGACAACUGGAGUUUUUGAAGAAAGAGCGAGAUGAGGUUCUGGAUUUUAAACGGAGUGGGGAAAUGAAAACCCAGAAGCUGCUGAAACAGACAGAAACCCAGAGGCAGAAGAUUGUGUCCGAAGUUCAGCAAGUGUGCCAAUUAGUGGAGGAAAAACAGCUACUCCUGCUUGCCCAGCUGAAUGAGAUAAACAAGGACAUUUUAAAGAGGCAGAACAACUAUAUUGCCAAAAAUCACAGAAGAAAUAUCCCGUCCUGACCACCUGAUCAGUGAGCUGGAGGGGAAGUGCCAGCAGCCAGCGAGUGAAAUCCUGCAGGACGUCAGAAGCACCUUGAGCACAUACGAGGCUCCUUCUCACUCCCCCUCAUUCUCCACGGUUCUGGAAGGGCCUUGGACACUAGGGGCCACAUUUACAAAGGACAUCACAAGUGCCUGGAGCAAGUACAUGGCUCCUUCUCACUCUGCCUCCUUCUUGUCGACUCUGGAAGGGGUUUGGACAGCAGGAGCCAAAUUUGUAAAGAGGCAGACAGAGGACAUUUGAGAAUCCAGUGAGUCUUUCUCCUGAAUUUAAAUGGGGCAGCUGGGAUUCCUCUGAAAAGACCAGAAUUCUGCACAACAUUCUGAAGAACUUCAAAGGUAAAAAAAUCUGGGGCUUUCCUAUGUGAAAUGUUUGUGAGUCACGAGCAAAAGUGAAGACAAGAUCUGCAGGUAAAGAUGUGUCUGUGGCGAUGAAAAGCGAUCUGCCCCGAUGGUUAGUUUACCAUUUGUUACUGUCUGAUAAUAUUCUGUGCUGGUUACAGCAGGACACAGAGGGUUAAAUCUUGGUUCUGUUGAAGUCAAUGGCAAAACUUCUACUGAUUAUAAUGGGACCAGGAUUUCACCCAGAGACUUUAAUAUCAGCUCAAAGAGACUUGGGAGCGAUUUGCCUUCACCUGCUGGAAUUGAAGGUGUCAUGGAAAAUGUGCUGUCACUCUGAGUGAGUGGGUAGAUGCUGUAGCAUUUUGAUUAGUAGGCAUUGUAGUAUUUUUAUGGUGCUGAGAGCGUGCGGAGAAGAGAGUGGGGAGUUGGGUAGCAUGGGGAGCGGGUGUGGAGUCUGGCUGAAGUGAGAGGACUGUGAGGGAGGCAACAGGAGAAAGUUUCAGUGAUCAGCCAGGCCGCAACGGGGAAAGACUGUCCAGACUUGACACUGUAAAGAAAAAAGGUGAGCGAGGGGGAGGGGAACAAUCAGAUGCUGACGACACAACACCCCUGAACAGCCUGGUGGUGGGGAUUAAAUGUGGCACCUCUGGAGCUGAUAGAAUGAACCUCUGCAGCCUGAGCUCAGAGAUCCAGUUUUCUCAGCCGCUGUUGUUGCAGGAUCAUCAACCUCUGUGUGUGGCCCAGCACCAAGAGAGGGUAACAGGGAGCCAUACUGUGUGGGUGGUACCAUCAGCUAGCCCACCCUGAUCCCUGCACUGAUGGUGCUAUCCAGCUAUUUGAUGUCAGGAGAUAGAGGCUUUGUAAUGUCUAUAGAAUUCAACAAAGUAGCUUCUUUGAAUGUUAGUGAAGGGGUCUGGGCUGCCACUGCUCCCCCAAUGUGAUCCUGUUUGUCAGUGUACUCGGCUGCUGUGUAUUGUCCGGAUUCCUACGUUCUGAGCUCUCGUGGGCAGGGAACUGUUCACACGAAGCCUAAUACAAAAGGGCCGUAAUUCCCUGUUGGGGUCCUCAGGCCCAAUCACAUGAGAAGUAAUAAUUAAUAAACAAUUACUAAUAAGGAUAGCUCUGUCUGCAUCUCCCCCAAAAGUUAUAUUAAAUCACAAAACGAUUGUCACCUACUGAUCAGAUCCUGAGAUCUCCCCUCUCUCUCUCACCUUUUUCAUCCUCUAGAGACUCUGGUGUCAGAAUGGAGGCUGGACAAAGGUAAUUCCUGGGGCCAACGGGGAGUGGCGACAGUUGCAUGUGAAUGUUAUCCUGAACUGAGGAUAAAUAAUGCUUUGUGUCUCCCUGGAUUUUCUGGUAGAAAAACAAGCAUAAAAAUUCAAUAAAGCAAAAAGUAGGAAACAAUAUCAUGUGCACCCACCAUUUUUCAGCUAGCUCUAAUUAAAAACAAACACAAGGUAAUCAACCCAAUUAGGAAAUUUAUCCAAUUAAUCUAACACUUUUUGGCGGGAUGCCCUCUUGAGAGUAGAUGGUGGGAAAAGAUUAAAAUUCAGCUGGCCAGAUUCCUCUAGUCAAGAUCUGAAACACAGGAUCAAACUUCUGAAUGUUGCCGCCCUGUUUUAAAAGUGAUUAAAUGUUGAAAGGGAAAUGGCAGCAUGGAAGCCUGAGCUGAGCUGAACUGGGGCUCUGAGGAACCUUAGGAAAUUUGCUGGGCUACUAGUGAAAAUUCACAGCUCACCAACAGGACACAAGUGCACCCCCCAGCACAGACUCCCACAUGGAGUGAGGUCCACAGGAGUGAGGGUCCCGUCCUCUAGCCCCCCUACCCCAAGCUUCUGCAGCUGCUGUGAACCUCAUAAGACAAUCCAGGUACUCGCGGCCUUCCAAUACAUUCCAUGGGGCCUGCCAGUCAUGGCAGGUACUGAGAAGCUUGCUAUGGUUCCCCAGGGGGUUAUGUACUUUUCUAGCACUGAGGAUGAACAUCCUUACGUAUUCCUAUGGUUUUCUCCUGAGGAUCCCCAAGAUCUGCUUCAUCAGCUCAGGCAGUUUAGGUAUCAGCAUAGCUGUGGUCACCUGUUGGGCUGACAGGCCCUGGAGCUCCAAGCACUGACUCAGGACCGAGUCAGGAAAACGCUGGAACCCAUGCUUCAGUCCAGCCCUAUUCAGGAAAUGGCCUGCUUCAUUUAAGCACCUGCUUAAGUUCUCUCCUGAACAGGGAUGCUUGACUGCUCUGAUGGGCUCCAGAAUGGUGGGGCCCUGCAUCUGUGGUCCCCUUUGCCAAGCAGACGUGGGGAAAGACGCUUGAGAGGAUCCAAGUCCCAGUUCAGCAUCACAACGCCGAACUUUUAGGUGCUUGGGAAAAAAGCCCUGCAAUUGCUUGGGCACCGAGGCUCCUGUACAGUAAAUGGAGAGAGAUGGGUGCCUAAGAAUGCCAUGCUCCAAAGCAAGGAGUGUAGGCUAGCCGCUGGGGGAGGCUGAUGAGAGGGGGGUGUCCUAAGCCCCACCCCCUCACAGAGAUAAGCCAAGUCCAGCCUGCAGAAAGGCCCCAUCUCUGCUUGUGAUUCUCAAGCCGGGAACCUCCUUGGAAUAAGGCGCCAAGUGCUCAUUUAGCAAGAAACCGAGCAGGCACCUAAAGUCACUCGCCUACAUUUUUCAGAGUAAAAGUUCCCUCGUCACUGUGUGUCCAUCUCUAGGUGUGCGCACUGCUGUCUCCCUGUGGGCCUCCAGCUGCCCGUCUGCUCCCUCAGCCUCAGAGCUAUUCUCAGAGAGAGGGAAGAGAGGCAUUCCGCUGUCUAACUCACAUGCGGGGCCUGAUCCAGGAGGCGUGCACAGAGGCUACCUACUGGAGCUGACACCAUUCCAAAUCUGGCUGGCAGUGGUGUCAGCAGCAGCAGCUGCUUUAUAACUUUUAGCCCAGUGGUUGGCACACUCGCCUGAGAGCUGGGAGACCCAGGUUCAAGUCCACCUCUCUAUUUGACGGGGAGAAAGGAGUUGAACAGGGUCUCUCACAGGAGCAGCAGAAACUAGGCAGCUAGAGAUCUUUUACUCUGAAAAAUGUAGGUGCUAAGUGACUUUAGGUGUCUAGAGCAUUUGACAGGGAAUUUGGGGCAGUGCCGUGGAACCAAAACUGAGACUUAGGUGCCUAAUUCCUUUUGAGCAUCAAGCCCCACAUCACUAUUCCAGGGGAAGUUGGACUCCCAACACUUUGCAUGGGGGCGAACACCACAAAGGAUCAGGGUGCACUGUGCGCUGUCAGGCAGGAAGAGAGGGGUGCAGGAGGGAAAAGAUUCAAAGUCUCAGGCCUGGCAUGCCAACCCUUUUGCUCUGUCACUGACCCAUCCUUGCCAGGGAAGUGACUCUCCCCUGCACUUUGAUGAGAUCUCAGAGCUGCCUCUAUUCAGAGCCGGGUAAAUCCUGGAGGAAGGAGAUACUCUGAGUCACCCUCCAGCUGGGGCAGAUUCUGUCACUGGCACGAUCAACCCUUUCCCCAGGGCCGAGCUCUGCUUCUGAUGCUCUGAUUUUCUCUCUCAUUCGCUCUCCAGAAAAUGUGAUGCUGGAUCCAGACACAGGAAAUCCCUGGCUCAUCGUGUCUGAGGAUCAGAAAAGCAUGAGAUGGCAGAAUCCAUACAACAAUUUCAGAGUAGAAGAUGUAUCGUUUCUCCCUGCCCUGGGCUGUGAGGCAUUCACCUCGGGCAGACAUUACUGGGAGGUGGCGUUGAAGGAGGGGGGGAAUGUGUGUCUAGGGGUCGCCAGAGAGUCUGUGAAGAGAAUGGGAAAGGUCAACUUGAAGCCCAAAGCGGGAGUCUGGGCUAUGGAGCAGUUGGGGGCGUAUUACCGAGCUUACACCUCCCCUAUUACCAACUUGUCCCUGAGUCAGAGCCCCAGAAAGAUUGGGGUCUAUCUGGACUAUGAAGCGGGGCAGGUGACGUUUUAUGAUGCUGAUACCAAGGCCCUGAUCUUCGCGUUCCCACCAGCCUCUUUCACUGGGCAAAGAAUUCGCCCUUUCUUCUCUCUUUUUGGUGUAAACUCCCAGCUUAGACUGUGUCCCUGAGAUGUCCAGAGUUGGGGGGAGGAUAGCAGAAUACCCCAUCAGCACCUAUGAAAUGAGCUUCUCUAAUCUCUGCCCUCUCUGAUCCUGAAGGAUUCCCAUGUUUCUGCAGAGACAUCGAAACUGCAGACAGACCAGGAAAGUCCAUACCAGUGCAACACACUAAUCAGCACAUGUCACAUGCCCCCCUCUUGGUGUGAGUUGCAGAGGAUGUGACUCUGUUAUGGUGGCUUGCUGCAGAGGCUGGCUGCUUAGCUCAUGCUGCAGUGACUCAAGUUUCUGAGUUUAGCGAGUCCUGGUUCAAUGCCCAGUGUGCUGGCCAAGAUGGUGGCUAUUAUACCAAUAUUGCAGCAGGCCUCUCCUGUCUGUCUCUGGUGUUCAGUGGAACCAUGGCAGACUGCCAGAGAGUGAGGGGGAAGCUGCUUGCAAAGCUGUAGGGGGAAUCCCCAGGGCUCAGGCACCUCAUCAAAAGGCCCGUCUUGCUCUGGGGAAGAAACCAACUCUCACUUUCCCUGGUAAUUGUUGAACCCAUUGUAACAGGCCCAGGUCCUCAAAGUUAGGUAGGUGCCUACCUACCACUGAUUGUAGUGGGAGUUAGGUGCCUAAAUACCUUUGAGGAUCUGAGACCUGGGGCUUUGUCUCUGAUUCUGGAGACUAAAAUACUCUGCUGCACAAACAGACCGAAACCAGACCCCAGAAUUGGGGCCAGCUUUAUUUUAGCUCCUAUUAGGCACCUAACUAAGAGGCCAGAUUUUCAAAAGUGUUUAGCCAGAAGUUUCCACCUCCCAGCAGGUCUCAUUGAGAACUAACUGGUUGCUUCAUUAGGUGCUGAAAUGGGAGAAGAGCUGUUUGGAAAAGCCAGCUCCAGUUGUGGUGGCUGAGGCCUGUGAAAUCUGGCCCUCUGUGACUUGUAUCUAGAGCUAGCUGAAACAUGUCAAAUGAAAAUGUUCUGGAAUGGUCAGGCCUCCCCUCUGCCAUGCUGGUGUUCAAUCUGUUCCAGGGGACACACUGCGCUCAUGCAGACCAUACCGUUCUGCCUUCUUGUUUCACUGGGGUCUCAAAAAAAUCAUUUUUUGACUGAAAAUACAGGGUUGCUUUUUAUGUGUAGAAAAAUCUAAAACCCACAAGGAGGGGUUUGUAAAACAACACUGAAUACUCAAAGAAAAUAUGGAGCUUUUCAUGUUGUGAGUAUGCGGUGCAGAGCCCUGGAGCAGGGCUGCUCACCGGCCUAGGAGGUGGCUAAGAAUGGGAAGGACUGGGAUUCUUCUUGCAAGGCCUACACAAACUGGGAGGGUGAGGGAGACAAUGCAGCUUACAUGAUGAUCUGCUCAGCGGAAAUGGAGGCAAGAAUUUCCAUCCUGCUAUGAACCAGGCUGAGAUCCCAACGCAUUCCACAGGGGCUCCUGAGUAGCCGCCCCAUGGACUUUCAGCCAUUGCCCAUGUAGGAUAUUAUCCUGAAACAGAUACAAUGAAGUUUGUGGAGCUGUUAGGAAUUGUGUGGGGCUUGUACAUUGCUGAUUACAACAUUGCUUGUUAAUACACCUAUUCAUUUGGCGGUUCCAUCUGUACCUUUAUAAUUAUUGCACUAUGUUUGUCACCGAGCCCAUGAGUUCCAUUGUUCUGUACAAUAACGAGUAGUGCUUGGCAUUCUGUUUCACAUGUUAUGAAAUAACAAAGACAACAUUAUUUUCUCAGACACAGAUUUUUAUUGUGUAUCAAAACCAGUGCAUAGAAGCUAUGUGCAAUUACAGAACAAAUGCAAUAAAAUACUUCUGAAAUAAAUUAAAGGAGAAUUAAACCAGGGGAAAGAUCAUUCGUGGCCAUUUUUGCUACCCAUACAGCAACCCUGGCUCCCACAUGUCAGUGUAUGUGACACUGCGGUUGUCCUUACUGUCCCCUGGAGUGGAGUCGUAGGGGGAGGGGUGCAGACCCAGAUGCUACAUGCAAUGUUGGAUGGAGGAUACAGGAGGUGCCAAAAUGGAGUUUUCCAUGGACUACAAAGGGAGGUGAGCCAGUGCUCAUUGAACUUGUAGGUCCACAAGAAUCUGCAGCUUCUGUUUUUGCUGCCAGAGCAGCCCCAUUAUGUCCUGGUUCAUCUCCCUCUGCUUUUCCUGCUAGGACUCCUGGGCCCUUCUGCUGGCUGCUCUUUCCUUCACUAUACAGUCUGCAGUAGUCACCUUUCUAGGCCCUCUGCUCAUAGUCUGAUGCCACACUGGCUUGCAUGAUCUCUCUAAAGGAGUCAUCCUGAGUCCUCUUCCUUCUCCUCUUAACUAGCUCAGGCAUUCCGUGGGUGUGAAGGGGGAAUCCCACAAGGCUGCAUUAGCAGCAGCUACUGAUAAAACACAGAGGUAUUUUCCACUGUAUGCAUCCGAUGAAGUGAGCUGUAGCUCACGAAAGCUUAUGCUCAAAUAAAUUUUUUAGUCUCUAAGGUGCCAUAAGUACCCCUUUUCUUUUUGCGGAUACAGACUAACACGGCGGCUACUCUGAAACCAGAGGUAUCAUUGCCAGUAUUGUCACAACACAGAGUGAAAGUAAAGGGUCUGAACUCCCAUCCCUGGCUCCCCCCAGUUUUAAAGAAACCAUGUGUACUGAUACUUCCGCUGGAGAGCACUUAUGCACAGCACAACUCACCAGUCCCAGCUGUGCCAAGUCUGGCCAACCCGGGGGGGGCAGGUAGGGCAUGAGGAGGGAAUUGUUCAGUUGUAUGAAACUAUGAAUAUAGGGCACUGGCACUGAAUGCUGGCACCGUUUUCCACAGGUGGGAGUGAUUUUAGCUGAUAUCUUUUUCCUGAGGGUAACAAAGGGACAGAGAACAUAGUGGCUACUGAUGUCUUGAAGCCACCUGGGCCCGCAUGCUGCUAGCCUGUGCACUACAAUGGUGCCUGCUGAGGUAUCACUGACUGGAGUGGGAAAGUGUCCUACUGUAAGGUCUGAGGCCCUUUUCUGCAGCCAUAUUAGGAGAGCAGCAGCCAUGAGCGAAGCAGCAGAAAGUUACAUCCUGACAUUCCAUCUAAAUUACAUUAAGAUCAUGUAAUAUUGGGCUGUUAAGAAGGGGAUCCUGCCCUAAUAGUACCCACCAUCACCAGAUAAAGAAACAGAUCUUAGGAUAUUUAAAGAAAACUUUGAGGGCAUUCUGUCUGACAAGGAAUCACCUAUCAACAGUUGUGGGUGUGAAAUCUCUAUUUCUUUAUUGCUUUGCUUUUAUGGUUCCUACUCCUCUACUGUUUAUCUGCAUGGUUUCUGUCUGGUUCUUUGAUUGCUUCUGUCUGUUACACAACUAAUUUUGCAAGGUUUAAAUCAACUAAGGUGGUGGGGUAUGACUGGGUAAAGAAUUGUUUCUCGAUAUGUUAGGAUUGGUCAAAGAAUUAUUUUGUAAUACUUUAGUAAUAUGAUUGGUUAAGAUACAGCUAAGCAGGACUCAAGUUUCACUAUAUAAACUUGGGUCCAAAGGGAAGUUUUUUGGAACCAACUCCAGGACACAGCCCCAAGAUCAGAGCUGCCAGAACCAACACGCUGCCAAUUACACCAUGCAGAAGCUGGAAUCCCCGGAUGUCCUGAUCCUGACUGGCCAGAAGGAAAAGUUUGUCUGCCUUAUUAGGAGGGAAGUUGGUCCAAUAGAAGACAUUACCUCACCUACCUUGUCUCACUAAUCUCCUGGGACAUGCAUGGCUACAAUGACACUGCACUAACUUUGGCCUUGUCAAAGUCCCUACCUGGGCUGGGCACAGUGGGGACUUUAAUGGAGGGCUCUCUCCAGCACAGAUCCUGUUGAGGGAGCAGCAACUGCUCAGUUCGGGCUCCCAGAUCCCAGUGGAUGAGGCAGCAGCUUGUGACCCAGGACAAAAAACAGAGACAGAUCGAGCGCAGCCUCCUCUCUCUGAGCAAGGACCAGACCCCUCUGGACACAACAGCUAUGGAAUCAACUCCCCACACCCUCCCCGCCAGCUCCGCACCCUGCGGGUCAGGUGUAGCAUUAAGGACAGGUAAACUAGGCAUGGGGGGUGGGGGGCUCAGGAGCCUGCCCCACAACAGCAGUGGGAAGGCACAGUGCUGGCUGUCCCACUGCCCACUCAGGUUAGGCCCCGGCCUACAAUCCAUUUUAUGGAGGAGGGGUACCAGGACAAAAUUGGCUAAGUGGGGCUGCCACCCAUGUCACAAUGCCACUUACUGACUCGUAACAAUGGGGGGUGGGACACUGGGGUCAGUCCUGAGCGGCAGAGCACAAGUACCUGAACCAGACCAGCAAGAGCUUCAGUGCCCACACCUGGCAAGGAGCUUCAGUGAGGGCCUGCGUGGGGGAUUCAGCCGGGAGAGGGGCAGAGAGGAACCCUGGGGCAGGAGGUGACAUGAGGGGCUUUUCCUAGAGCCCAGUGAUGGGUUAAUUUGGCCCUGCUCAUCACCAAACAAACCAGGUGGCAAAGCACUGACCAGUGACAACUCCAUGACCUGAGUCAGGGGAGCAGAGCUUGUAGCUCCGGCCCAGGGAUAGUAGCCAGUGAGCCUGGUGUGGGGACAAGAGACCAUCUCUUGACCAUUAUCAGAGUGAAUGACACACAGACUCAGUGUCUCCCAGAAACUUGUCACCUGCAGCUCCUGGUCCUGGGCAGCCUGUCUAGGACUAGGGCCUGUAGUGUCAGAAACUGCAGCAUGCUAUAUGGUGUAUUACCACCUUUACUUUGUGCUGCACUGUGCCCCCAUGCCCCUAACCCCUGCACUGUACCCCCUUUGUCCCAAGACCCUGCACUCCCCUCCUGCACUCACAUGGGGAAACUGACUUGGAUUCAUAGAGCAGCUGGCACUGCUGAUUGCUCCCCCCUUGAACGCUGUUCCUCUGUGCACCCCUAGGGGGCUGUAAGGGUGGGAGCGAGGAGCAACAUCAGGGCUCCCUGCAUCCAGGUCACUUUCCCUACUUGGGCGGUUUUCAAUUAACAAAACUAGAAAUUAAAUAGCAAAUCAAACAAAAAAACCCAAAUAAUCUGUUAUUAACACAGGUGUAAGGUUCCCCAGUGACAGAUCCAGCCCUUUCAGGAUGUCAAGUUCAUCAACAUUAAAUUUCUGAAAACCGGAAAAAAUAGAGUUAAUGUACAUGGCAACCUUAACUCUGCCCUUAAUGUACACAGCCUUAACUCUGCCCUCUUUGAGAGAUGAUCCAAUACACCAGUAGCACACAUGCUUGCACUCUGUCUCUCCAGAUGGUGCAGAGCACUCAGGGAAUAGGGCACAUGACAACUUUACCACAGAGUCAAACACUUUCUUUCUGUGAAAGCAAAAUUGGUUUGAGGUGAGUUGUACUGGCCAGGAGCUCCCUACACCUCUUCUACGCACAAACACUGAGUUUAUUCACCAGACACAAAUCCACGCGACUCAAAUUUUAUAAUCCCCCUCCUUUUAAAACCCGUUCACCCUUAUUCACAAGAUUGCAUUCAGCACUGUACUUUCACCUAAUUAACACUAAACAAACAGACGGCUCUCAUAUCCCUCCACCCUGCUGACAAACCCCAUGGCAAGAAGACCCUCUAUGCCCUGCUAGUGAUUCAGCAUUCCCAAUCCAGUUUUGAAAUGAUGCAUACUGAAUCCCUCAAGGUUCACAUGUGCUUCUUUCUUUUGACAACAUUCAGGGGAAGACGAAGACCCAAAUCUCAUAUCACAAUCACAGCUCCGAGAUCCUCUCACAUUAGUCCCCAGAUCUCCUCAUAGCAUAGUCACAGCUCUGGGAAACUCCGCAAACAACUCCUCCAGGGCUGAAGCACCCACGGGCACCAAGCUCCCCGCCCUGCCCUGCCCUGCCCCACCUCACCUCCUCCUCCACCUCCUCCCAUGAGUA